rnacentral:rRNA from 1 species
UACAGAGGGUGCGAGCGUUAAUCGGAAUUACUGGGCGUAAAGCGCGCGUAGGCGGCUUUGCAAGUCGGGUGUGAAAUCCCCAGGCUUAACCUGGGAACUGCAUUCGAGACUGCAUUGCUAGAGUAUGGGAGAGGGAAGUGGAAUUUCCGGUGUAGCGGCGAAAUGCGUAGAUAUCGGAAGGAACAUCAGUGGCGAAAGCGACUUCCUGGACCAAUACUGACGCUCAGGUGCGAAAGCGUGGGGAGCAAACAGG